rnacentral:rRNA from 1 species
AUGGCGCCCAGCGGCAAGUCCAGCCCCUCUACCGACGGCGCCGCCUCCACGGCGGACCGCAAGCCGUGGCGGCGGCCGCAGAUGAAGUCGAAGGCGGCGGGCAAGAAGAAGGCGGCGCAGGCGGCGCACAACAAGAAGCCCAAGUCGGGCGGGUUCGAGUCCAUGGGGCUCUGCGAGGAGGUCUACCGCGGGGUGCGCCACAAGGGGUACCGCGUGCCCACGCCCAUCCAGCGCAAGGCGAUGCCGCUCAUCCUCGCCGGGCUCGACGUCGCCGCCAUGGCCCGCACGGGCUCCGGCAAGACCGCCGCCUUCCUCGUGCCCAUGCUCCAGCGCCUCCGCCACCGCGACCCCGGCGCCGGCAUCCGCGCCCUCAUCCUCUCCCCCACCCGCGACCUCGCCACGCAGACGCUCAAGUUCACCCACCAGCUCGGCAAGUUCUCCGAUCUAAAAACUGGCCUAAUUGUUGGUGGAGGUAGUAUGGAGAGUCAGUUUGAAGUAUUGGCUGAUAAUCCUGAUAUAAUAAUUGCAACACCUGGUAGGUUUGAGCACAUCUUGUCAAUGGUUGAUGACUUGUCACUGCGAUCAGUAGAAUAUGUUGUAUUUGAUGAAGCGGAUUCCCUCUUUAGUUUGGGGUUCGCUGAGCAGUUACACAAAAUUCUACACAAGUUGAGUGAUACAAGGCAAACAUUGCUCUUCAGUGCUACUAUGCCGAAAGCCCUUGCAGAAUUCGCAAAAGCUGGCUUGCGUGAUCCCCAAGUCAUAAGACUUGAUUUGGACAAAAAGAUCAGCCCUGAUCUGAAGCUUGCCUUUUUCACACUGCGUCAGGAAGAGAAACUAGCUGCUUUGCUGUAUUUGGUCCGGGAGCGUAUCAGCUCUGAGGAGCAGACAAUGAUAUUUGUUUCAACGAAGUAUCAUGUAGAGUUCUUGAAUAUUCUUUUCCGAGAAGAGGGCUUAGAAGCUUCCCUUUCCUAUGGUGCCAUGGAUCAAGAAGCCCGCACUAUUCACAUUUCAAGAUUCAGGGCAAGGAAGACCAUGCUACUUAUAGUGACAGAUGUUGCUGCAAGGGGUCUGGAUAUUCCAUUGCUUGAUAAUGUAGUGAACUGGGACUUUCCUGCUAAACCGAAGUUGUUUAUUCAUAGAGUUGGCCGAGUAGCUCGGCAAGGUAGAACUGGUACAGCAUUUACAUUUGUCACUUCAGAGGACAUGCCAUUUUUACUGGACCUACAUCUCUUUCUUUCAAAACCUCUUAGACCUGCUCCAACGGAGGAGGAACUGCUGAAAGACAUGGAUGGAAUGAAUUUAAAAAUCAACCAAUCUCUUGCUGAUGGGGAAACGAUAUAUGGCCGUUUUCCUCAGACAGUACUUGAUCUUUGCUCUGAUGGAGUAAAAGAAGUCAUCAGUGGAUGCACAGAUUUGAUUGCAUUGGAAAAGCCAUGCGCUAAUGCUUUCCGCUUGUAUCUGAAGACCCGCGCUAUGCCUUCAAAAGAAUCUGUCAGAAGGGCAAAAGAUUUGCCUCGUGAAGGUCUUCAUCCAAUUUUCAGAGAUGUUCUUAGACCAGAUGAAAUUUCAGCUAUUGCGUUCUCGGAGCGGCUGAAAUCAUUUCGGCCAAAGCAGACUAUUCUAGAGGCUGAAGGUGAAGCUGCUAGAUCAAGAAGUUCUAAAGGUAGCAAUCAAUGGCUAGAUGUGAUGAAGAAGAAAAGAGAAGUCCAUGAGGGGAUCAUAAAUUUGGUGCAUGAACAGUCUGGUGAUCUGGCAACAAAGGAAGAAGAUACAGAAAACAUUUCUAAUUGGGAGAAAAAAGAAGUUUGUGGUAAGAAGCGGAAGUCACAGAGCUUUAGAGAUGAGGAUCACUACAUAAGUUCGGUGCCUCAAAACCAACAUUCAGAAGCUGGGUUGUCAGUAAAGGGAAAUGAAGGAUUUGUUCAAGAUAGAUUGGAUGCUGCUGUCCUUGAUUUGGUCGAUGAUGAAACUUCUGGAAUGCAAGCCCAGAAAACUCGAUAUCACUGGAUGAAGAACAAGUUUGUCAAGUUGAAUAAUGGGGAUCGUGUCACUUCUACAGGAAAGAUUAAAACGGAAAGCAGUGCCAAGAUUAAGGCAAGUAAAGAUAUCUAUAAGAAAUGGCAGCAGAAGUCACAUAGAGCAAUCGGUUCUGGUGGAAAAGAUGGUGCAGAAGGAGGCAUAUCCACACCAGCUGGCUAUCAAAGAGGAAACAGAAGAUACCCUGCAGCCGGUCGCGGGCGUUCGUCUAUACCAAAUGCUGAUGUGCCAUCAGAGAUAAGAAAUCCCCAACAGAUGCGGAAGGGCAGGCAAGAAAAGGCGAUGCAAAAUCUGCGCAGGAAUGAGAAAUCUGCAAGAGACAGUAAAUCUCCCGGGAAGUUCCAGAAAAACAGGAGGCCUAAUGGAUCUGGCAGAGAUGAUAAAUUCCAAGACAGUAGAUCCCAGAAGAGCCGAAGACCAGACGGGAAAGGGAAAGGGGGCGGAAAAGGGAACGCCAAAGGGUUUGGUAAAGGUAAAGGAAAAGGCAAAGGCAACCCCAAAGGGAGGGGUACCAGGUGA